rnacentral:antisense_RNA from 1 species
CCCUAAAUCAACACAUAUUCCUAGGAUGUGGGAACAUAUGCAAUACUUAAAUGCACAGGCUCUGGGUUCAGACUCCCUAGGGUUAAAUUCUCCCUGUGCCGGCUAGCUGCAUGAUUAGAUUUGUGAUCUUGACAAAGUUACCUAACGUCUCUGGGCCUCACUUUUCUCAUCUGCAAAAUAGGGAAAAUAGCAACACUUCUCCAUAGGGGUGUGGUGAGGAUAAAGAGUAGAUGUAAAUAAAGUGUUGAAUGUAGAGCCUGGCACAUAUCAAGCUCUUAAAAAGCAAUGGCCAUUUUGUUAUUUUUACUGCAACGACAACUGCAGUUAUUAUCUGACUUCAGAGCUCUCUUUUUAAAAACAGUAUUCCCUGGUUUUACACCCAGGUGCUAAUACUAUUCUAUGAAGCUAAUGUAUAGAGACCAUAUCUUUUUAACAAACGUGUAUAUAUGAGUCAUUUCCGGCACAUUUGAUACACAUCAUCUCGUUUGGUCCUUAAAACAAGCCUAGGCCAUAAGCAGGGUAAGUGUUACCACUUUGCUGUUCCUGUUUUACAGAGGCUUAGACACAUUGAGAAGCUUUUCCAUAGUCACUUAACAAGUGAUGGGUGAAGCCAAAUCAAGCCUUUAGAUCUCCAAGCUCUUUCCAUUAAACCAUAUAAAUCAGGGGUUGGCAAACUUUUUCUGCAAAGGGGACAGAUAGUAAAUAGUUUAAGCCUUAUGGGCCACAUGCUGUGUCUGUUUCAUAUUCUGCUCCUUUUUUAUUUUUAUUUUUUUUAAGAAAAGACACCCUUUAAACAUAUAAAAACCAUUCUGAGCAACAGGCUGGUGCUAAAAACAGGUCAUGGUAACCAUUGGCUCUAGGGUUGUAGUUUACUGUUGACAUAGAUUGUAUGCUGAUAAGCCAAAAUACAAACCUAAUGAAACUGACAUACUUAAGGAACUUUACUCUUUGUUAGCAAUCAUUGUUAAUAUUUAUUGAAUGGUUACUACGUGGGAAAUGCUGUUCCAAGUGUGAUAGAUAUAUUAACUUACUUAAUCCUCACACCCACUCUAAUUUCAUAAGUACUAUUGUCAGACUCAUUUUACAGACAGGAAAAGCAAGGCAUAGAGAAGGUAAGUAACUUUUCCAAGGUCACAUGGCUAUUAAGUAGCAGAGCUGUGAUUCAAAUAUAAGCAGUUUGGCACCAGACCCUGUGCACUUAACCGCUUGCAUCUCGGUUGGGAGCACUGACUGGUUCAGCUAUUGGGAGGGAAGAAAGGGGAUGGGGAAGCCACAUAACCCCUAGGAGAUUCUGUAAUAAAUAUGCUUCAGAGCCAUUCACCUUGAAGCUGAGGAGGCAUGGAAGCAGGCCACCUGUGUUCUGUACAGCAUCACCAGGCUGGAAAUCUGCCAUGGCUUUCCUUCACGCCAUUACAACAGAGGAUACAGAUGAGGCUGCAGAGGCAUCUUGAUUUGAGAAAAGCAUUUGACUGGAUCUCAUUAAAUUUUAAUCAUAAACUGAAUUCAAAAUAAAUUGAAAACUGGUUGACAGAGCACCAACAAAGGGUGAUGAUAAAUGGUGAUGCAUCUAGAGGGGAGCUAUCUUCCAGGGGACAACUCUAAGGCAAGGACGGAUGGGAUUUAAUGAAGGUGUUAUGUCCCCAGAAGAAGACAAAUAGCACAGCAAGGAACAGAGGAAGGACAGGAGUGAGCAGCCUGAGUAAUUAAUAAACCAUAUUAACAGCUCCUCCAUAAUCAGGCCUUGGUGAUCACAACUGCUUGGAUUUUUUCUUAAGCUUUCUUUGAGUCAGGAAUAGGUUUGAAGCAUCCUAGAGACACACAGCAUGAAUAUUUCAGGUGGACAUUAAAAAGAAAUCUAUAAAUUUACAGCUGGGAGGAUCCUGAGAUCUACUUCGGAUCAGAAACUUUCAAUUACAAGAUUCCCAAGGCCUUACUUCAUUCCCCAGAGAGUAAUCUUUUUAGUAAAUGUCCAAAAGUCAUGGAUUUAAAAAAAAAAUCUUUAAACUCAUUAAUGUCCUUUGUUUCCUGCCCAAAUGCAUGCAAACUUUCAUAACACUGGUUUGCUGAGUGGAAGGUUGGUUUUGAGUGAACUGUUUGGCUCAGAUUCAAACUCCAAUGAACAAAUACUUCCAAGUUUACUUGCUGAAUUUCCCAUACAGAGAAGUUCUUCCACUGGGCUUGCCAGAGGAUUUGAAACAGUGGUGAGCCCUGGAAGGAAGGGAAUAUUUACUGGCCCUUGGACAUAAACCCAGCACAGUAAGACUCACAUCAGGCUGAAGGCAGUGCAGUAUGAACCGACCUGAUUUGAGGAAGUUUGCUCCGGGACUCCUCUGAGCUACUAAAUGAGGAGGAGAAGGACUAAUGGGAACACACUGACUCCAUCACAUUAGAAGUUAUAAUAAACAUUUAGAGAACAACCUCAAA